GAAAUGCGAUAAGUAAUGUGAAUUGCAGAAUUCAGUGAAUCAUCGAAUCUUUGAACGCACAUUGCGCCCGCCAGUAUUCUGGCGGGCAUGCCUGUUCGAGCGUCAUUUCAACCAUCAAGCCCCCGGCUUGUGUUGGGGACCUGCGGCUGCCCGCAGGCCCUGAUAAACAGUGGCGGGCUCGCUGUCACACCGAGCGUAGUAGCAUACAUUCUCGCUCAGGGCGUGCUGCGGGUUCCGGCCGUUAAACGACCUUCAUAACCCAAGGUUGACCUCGGAUCAGGUAGGAAGACCCGCUGAACUUAAGC
rnacentral:misc_RNA from 1 species